GACGAACGCUGGCGGCGUGCUUAACACAUGCAAGUCGAACGAAGUGGCGGACGGGUGAGUAACGCGUAAUCAACCUGCCCUUCAGAGGGGGACAACAGUUGGAAACGACUGCUAAUACCGCAUACUGAAGGCGGGGAUUGCGUUUGAAUGGCUUGUUGGGGGGGUAACGGCCCACCAGGGCGAUGAUAAGUAGCCGGGUGUGGAGGAUGAACGGCCAACUUGGGACUGGGAAAAGGCCCAGGUCCCUACGGGAGGCAGCCGGGGGGAAUCUUCCGAAAGGGACGAAAGGCUGAAGGAGCAACGCCGCGUGAGUGAGGACGGCCUUCGGGUUGUAAAGCUCUGUUAAGCGGGACGCGGUACCGGAAUAGAAAGCCACGGCUAACUACGUGCCAGCAGCCGCGGUAAUUC
rnacentral:rRNA from 1 species